CGGCCAGCAUGCCUCUGGAGCGGCUCUGACUUUCCUCCAAUCAGAGGGAGAGGAAGGAAGGAAGGCGCCUGGAGGGAAAUGAAAGGAAGCCGGACGUAGUGCGCAGGUGCGAGAACGUGCUUUGGGUCUCCGGGCAAAGAUGGCGGAGCGCGGUUACAGCUUUUCGUUGACUACUUUCAGCCCAUCUGGUAAACUUGUUCAGAUUGAAUAUGCUUUGGCUGCUGUAGCUGGAGGAGCCCCUUCAGUGGGCAUUAAAGCUUCAAAUGGUGUGGUAUUAGCAACGGAAAAGAAACAGAAAUCCAUUCUGUAUGAUGAGCGAAGUGUACACAAAGUGGAGCCAAUUACCAAACAUAUAGGCUUGGUAUAUAGUGGCAUGGGCCCAGAUUACAGAGUGCUUGUACACAGAGCUCGAAAACUAGCUCAGCAAUAUUAUCUUGUUUACCAAGAACCCAUUCCCACAGCUCAGCUGGUACAGAGAGUAGCUUCUGUGAUGCAAGAAUAUACCCAAUCAGGUGGUGUUCGUCCAUUUGGAGUUUCUUUACUAAUUUGUGGUUGGAAUGAGGGGCGACCAUAUUUAUUUCAGUCAGAUCCAUCAGGAGCUUACUUUGCCUGGAAAGCCACAGCGAUGGGAAAGAACUAUGUGAAUGGAAAAACUUUUCUUGAGAAAAGAUAUAAUGAAGAUCUAGAACUUGAAGAUGCCAUUCAUACAGCCAUAUUAACCCUAAAGGAAAGCUUUGAAGGGCAGAUGACAGAAGAUAACAUAGAAGUUGGAAUCUGCAAUGAAGCUGGAUUUAGGAGGCUUACUCCAACUGAAGUUAAGGAUUACUUGGCUGCCAUAGCAUAAUGAAGUGACUGAAAAUCUGGAAUUGCAGAUAAUCUCUAUACUUAAACAUGUUUAAAUGGCUGCACCAGUCUGCAUUCCCACCAACAGUGCACUAGGGUUCCCUUUUCUCUACAUCCUCCCCAGCACUUGUUUGUUGAUUUAUUGAUGGAUGCCAUUCUGGUAGGUAUGAGGUGAUAUCUCAGUGUAGUUUUAAUUUGCAUCUCUGGUGAUUAAUGAUGUUUUAAUGCGUCUGUUGUCCAUCUGUGUGCCCUUUUUGGAGAAGUGUCAAACCCAGAGACCUAAAGUAACCUAAGGAUGGUUUGAAAUUAAAAACUUUAACUAAAAGCAGUUUAUGGCAGGUAAUCAUGUACUAGGCUAGAAUCUUCCCUGAUAAAAGUCAAUCUUUAAGCCUAUCUAUUGUCUUUUGCAUCUAUGAUAACAUUCCUUUGGAUUGUCAGGGUAACUCCCCUUUCUCCAGACCCCUCAGGGCACAACCAAUGCCCCUGCCCUGGGGCAGAGACCGUUAUUACCAUGUUAAUUGUUGAUUGUCAGUUAUCCCGGACCCACCUCCGGACCUACGUAGAUUUGUGUCUAUCGUUUUACUCCCUCCCCAAUCAAUCACCAAUGAAUUUCAUGUAACCCACUUGUGUCUUCUCUUUCGAUUGUAAUGCAUAAAACAAGGUGCAAAACUGCCAUUCUCUGGAGCAUUAUCUCAAUGCAUUGAGAUUUUCUUUCCCAGCAAUUGUGGACAGUUUGGCUCAAAUAAAUGCACAAAAAAUCUU